rnacentral:misc_RNA from 1 species
CCUCCUUUCUAAGGAAAUCGAAAGUAAUAUUUUCGAUUUAAAAAAAACCGGUAAUGUGACCGUCCUCAUUUCUCUUCUUUUAAUGUCUCUGACUAAAAAUAGUGUAAGGGGCCGGUAGCUCAGGUGGUUAGAGCGCACCCCUGAUAAGGGUGAGGUCGGAAGUUCGAAUCUUCCUCGGCCCACCAAUAUUAUGGGGGAUUAGCUCAGCUGGGAGAGCGCCUGAUUUGCAUUCAGGAGGUCAGCGGUUCGAUCCCGCUAUCCUCCACCAAAAUUUGAGACAUUUAGCUUUUUUAAAUUGUGAAUAAUUUUAUUAUCAAUAUCUAUAUCCGAUUGUUUUCAUAUAUUUUUUUGAAAACAAUCAAAACAAAAAUUUGAAUUUUACACAGAAAGUUUUUUUCUGUGCAUAAAUCAAGCGUUUAAGGGCGAUUGGCGGAUGCCUUGGCACUGUAAGACGAUGAAGGACGUGGUAUACUGCGAUAAGUUUCGGGGAGUUGUAUGCAAACUUUGAUC